UACGUAGGGUGCGAGCGUUAAUCGGAAUUACUGGGCGUAAAGCGUGCGCAGGCGGUUCGCUGUGUCCGAUGUGAAAGCCCCGGGCUUAACCUGGGAAUGGCAUUGGAAACUGGCGGGCUUGAGUGCGGCAGAGGGGGGUGGAAUUCCGCGUGUAGCAGUGAAAUGCGCAGAUAUCAGGAGGAACACCGGUAGCGAAGGCGGCACUCUGGGCCGGUACUGACGCUGAGGAGCGAAAGCGUGGGGAGCAAACAGG
rnacentral:rRNA from 1 species